rnacentral:rRNA from 1 species
ACGGAAGGCAGCAGUGGGGAAUAUUGGACAAUGGGGGAAACCCUGAUCCAGCGACGCCGCGUGAGUGAAGAAGUAUUUCGGUAUGUAAAGCUCUAUCAGCAAGGAAGAAAAUGACGGUACUUGACUAAGAAGCUCCGGCUAAAUACGUGCCAGCAGCCGCGGUAAUACGUAUGGAGCAAGCGUUAUCCGGAUUUACUGGGUGUAAAGGGAGCGUAGACGGCAAAGCAAGUCCGAAGUGAAAUCCCGGGGCUCAACCCCGGAACUGCUUUGGAAACUGUUUAGCUAGAGGGCAGGAGAGGUAAGCGGAAUUCCUAGUGUAGCGGUGAAAUGCGUAGAUAUUAGGAGGAACACCAGUGGCGAAGGCGGCUUACUGGACUGUAACUGACGUUGAGGCUCGAAAGCGUGGGGAGCAAACAGGAUUAGAUACCCUGGUA